rnacentral:rRNA from 1 species
UCAAGCGAACAAGGGCGCAGGGCGAAUGCCUUGGCACUGGGAGCCGAUGAAAGACGUGAUAAGCUGCGAUAAGCUUCGGGGAGCUGCAAAUAAGCAUUGAUCCGGAGAUUUCUGAAUGAGGAAACUCACCUGGGUUCAUACUCAGGUACGUUAUACUGAACUUAAAAAUAGGUAUAUCGAGGGAACCGCCUGAACUGAAACAUCUAAGUAGGGCGAGGAAGAGACAUCAAACGAGAUUCCGUAAGUAGUGGCGAGCGAACGCGGAAGAGGGCAAACCGGAAGUAGAAAUACUUCCGGGGUACGGACUGCUUUUAGGACUUAAUCUGUUAACCGAACGGCAUGGGAAGGCCGGUCAGAGAGUGUGAGAACCACGUAGGUGAAAACGGAGAGAGCUGCGCAGGAUCCAGAGUACGGCCAGACACGUGAAACCUGGUCGGAAUACGGGGGGACCACCCUCCAACCCUAAAUACUACCCAGUGACCGAUAGCGUAUAGUACUGUGAAGGAAAGGUGAAAAGCACCCCGGGAGGGGAGUGAAAAAGAACCUGAAACCCUGUGCCUACAAGCACCUAGAGCACGUCAAUGUGUGAUAGGGUACUUUUUGUAGAACGGUCCGGCGAGCGAUUGUAUGCAGCAAGGUUAAGGACUUAAGGUCUGGAGCCGAAGCGAAAGCGAGUUUGAAAAGGGCGUUAAGUUGCAUACAAUGGGCCCGAAACCGGGUGACCUACCCAUGGUCAGGUUGAAGUGGAAGUAAAAUUCCAUGGAGGACCGAACCGACCUCCGUUGAAAAGGCGGCGGAUGAACUGUGGGUAGCGGAGAAAUUCCAAUCGAACCCGGAGAUAGCUGGUUCUCCCCGAAAUAGUUUUAGGACUAGCCUCAAGUUAGAUACCUGGAGGUAAAGCACUGAAUAGCCUAGCGGCCGAGAGGUUAGCGAAGCUUAUCAAACUCAGAAUGCCAGAGUAUUGAUGCUUGGGAGUCAGACAGUGUCAGAUAAAUGUCAUUGUCAAAAGGGAAACAGCCCAGAUCUACAGCUAAGGUCCCAAAGUCAGGUUAAGUGGAAAACGAUGUGAAGAUACGCAGACAACCAGGAUGUUGGCUCAGAAGCAGCCACUCAUUCAAAGAGUGCGUAAUAGCUCACUGGUCGAGCGUCUUUGCGCGGAGAAUUUAACGGGGCUAAACCUGACACCGAAGCUUAGGCAAUACAGUAAUGUAUUGGGUAGGGGAGCGUUGUAUACGCGGUGAAACAGUAGCGCAAGCGGCUGUGGAGUGUAUAGAAGUGAGAAUGCCGGAAUGAGUAGCGCGAAUGCAGUGAGAAUCUGCAUGGCCGAAAGCCUCAGGUUUCUGGAGGAAGGUUCGUCCGCUCCAGGUUAGUCGGGAGCUAAGGUGAGGCCUAACGGCGUAGCCGAUGCACAGACGGUAGAGAUUCCGUCACCACCAAAAGAGUUAAACACAGGGACACAUUUGAAGUCUCGGAGCCGGGUGUUGGUUCCGGUAGCGAUCGAGGGAAGUUAGUACCGAAGUCCGGGAUGGAAGAUGGCGAGAAAAGCUGUGUGUAUUUCUGCGGUGCCCGUACCGCAAACCGACACAGGUAGGUAGGAAGAAGAUUCUAAGGCCAACGGGAGAAGGGUUGUUAAGGAACUCGGCAAAUUGACCCCGUAACUUCGGGAGAAGGGGUGCUCCAGAGAUGGAGCCGCAGAGAAUCGGCCCAAGCAACUGUUUACCAAAAACACAGGUUUGUGCUAAAUCGAAAGAUGACGUAUACGAGCUGACGCCUGCCCGGUGCUGGAAGGUUAAGAGGAGAUGUGCAAGCAUUGAAUCGAAGCCCCAGUGAACGGCGGCCGUAACUAUAACGGUCCUAAGGUAGCGAAAUUCCUUGUCAGGUAAG